CCUACGGGAGGCAGCAGUAGGGAAUAUUGCUCAAUGGGGGCAACCCUGAAGCAGCCACGCCGCGUGAAGGAUGAAGGUUUUCGGAUUGUAAACUCCUUUUGUUAGAGAAGAUAAUGACGGUAUCUAACGAAUAAGCACCGGCUAACUCCGUGCCAGCAGCCGCGGUAAUACGGAGGGUGCAAGCGUUACUCGGAAUCACUGGGCGUAAAGCGCGCGUAGGCGGGAUAGCAAGUCAGAUGUGAAAUCCUAUGGCUUAACCAUAGAACUGCAUUUGAAACUGGUAGUCUUGAGUAUGGGAGAGGUAGGUAGAAUUCUUGGUGUAGGGGUAAAAUCCGUAGAGAUCAAGAGGAAUACUGAUUGCGAAGGCGACCUACUAGAACAUAACUGACGCUGAUGCGCGAAAGCGUGGGGAGCAAACAGGAUUAGAUACCCGUGUAGUC
rnacentral:rRNA from 1 species